AUGCAGUUCUGUAUCAGCAUUAUUUUGGUCUCUCAUACUAAAGAGGUAAAUGAAUUAUCUCUGUUUCAGCAGCAAUCAGCCCGAGCAAAGCCUGUGGCUGCACCCUCACAAGCCCCUCGUGUCGCAAUUAGCCCUGCUAGCUCUCUUCUCAUAAAUGCUGCUCAACGUGUGAGGGACCCGCGUCUGAGGAAGUUAAAGGAUAGCAAAUCGGGAGGAACGUCUCCUCCGGUUUCGUCCCCUGUAUCCUCACCUGCACGCGUGACUGCUGAAAGCAACUGCGCUAUCAACAAUGGUGCCCCCUCCAGUCCAAGGAAAGGGACAGUGGACGCCGGGAAGGAAGAAGCCGAGGCACUGAAACCUGAGAAAAGUACCGAACGAAGCAAAGAUAAGGAAAAGCGUAGGAAAUCGAAAAAGUCUAGUAAAACUGAUACACAUCCUUCUAGUCCUAAAGGAAGUCCAAAAACAGAUAAACUUGAGUCAGAAGAAAGUGCCAGUACAGAUCUCAAGAAGAGUUGCUCGGAUGAGCUCAUACAAAAAGCUAUGAGCAGUCCUGUGGUGGCCCCCGCACUCCUGAAGACCGAGAUGAUAUUAAAACCUCCUCAAGAUGUCGAUUUGCGAGUGCUACCUACCUCACCCAAGAAAAGAGUGUCCGACAACAAAAGUGAAGAGCCACCUACAAAGAAAAACAAAGCUGAAAUGUACAACAUGUUAUUUGGAAAUGAGGACGUGGAUCUCCGCCAGGAUGUCGAUUUAAGGCUUCCUGUAACAGGAGUCCCUCUACUUGUCUCUUCUAUAUCUACUCCUACGCAGCACUUAGCUACAGCAGCAGUGUUUGAUAGUUCAAUGACCAUGUCAACAGCUUCUUCUCCCAAGGCUGCUGCUCCUGUCACUAUUGCUCAGCGUCCAGAAACAUCCAAAACUAGUAAACCGUCAUCCAGCAGUACCUCAUCUCCAAAGCGAGAAUCUGCAAAAGAAUCUUCCCGUCCUAGCAGUUCUAAAUCAAAAGCAGAAUCCAAAAAGUCCUCUGAAAAAUCUGCUUCAUUAGGAGAGCUAAAAAGUCACCAUCUCCUCCUCUAUCUAAGACGCCCUCUCCUCCUCCUCCACCCAUAA
rnacentral:lncRNA from 1 species